rnacentral:lncRNA from 1 species
UCAGAAGGAGGCCCAAUUAUGUUCCAGAAGCUUCUGCUGAGUGUUUUCAUAAUUCUCCUUAUGGAUGAGAAAGAGUGCUGACAUUUAACUGUACAGUAUAUUUGGCUUGCAUUUAUUGGAAAAAUCAUACUACCAUACGAGGAGAAGUUUUUGAACCAUUUACACACUGUUCCUCUCCAUACCUCACUUACUGCUUCUGGGUCUUCUUUCUAAAGUUUUGAUUUGUGAAUGAGUAGGGAACUCUUGGAGGAAAUCAUUACUGCCAUUAAUAAUAUCAGGGGGUGGGGGAAGAGUGCCACAUUUCUUCUCGUUGGGUUUGUAUAAUUUUGACUUUCUAAAGUAGUUAUUUUCCACAGAUCUAACAUUAAAAAUCUUCUUUUCCUUUAGUGCUUAGACAUUGUAAUCUCUGUUCGCAUCAUGAUGGGUUAAAAUGCCGCAAUGGCAUGAAAUCAUGCUGGAAGUUUGACUUAUGGACACAAAACAGGACUUGUACCACAGAAAACUAUUAUUAUUAUGAUCGUUUCACAGGGUUAUACCUUUUUCGUUAUGCCAAGCUUAAUUGUAAACCCUGUGCACCUGGAAUGUAUCAAAUGUUCCACGACCUGCUGAGAGAAACGUUUUGCUGUAUUGACAGGAACUACUGUAAUGAUGGCACUGCUAACUUGGAUACCUCAUCAAUACUUAUAGAGGAUAUGAAUCAAAAGAAAGAGUUGAAUGAUGAUUGAAAUAAUGAGGAUUUAAAUACCUCAUGUGCCUAUAUUCUUGACAAUUAUAAAACCCAGGCCCCAUAUUCCUCUCUAUGUCAGAAAAUGUUCCCAUGCAAACCCAGUCAUUUUUAUUUCCACAUUUCAAUUAAUAAGAAAGAGAAAACUCACAAGUUAAAAAAAACCAAAAACCAAAAAAAA